rnacentral:tRNA from 1 species
GCCCAGGUGGCGGAAUUGGUAGACGCACCAGGUUCAGGUCCUGGCGGUGUAAAAACUGUGGAGGUUCGAGUCCUCUCCUGGGCACCA